GUGCUCAUUUUAGCAGCACAUAUACUAAAUUUGGAACAAUACAGAGAUUAGCAUGGCCCCUGUGCGAAGAUGACAUGAAAUUCAUGAAGCAUCCCAUAUUAUU
ensembl:snRNA U6 U6 spliceosomal RNA